UACGUAGGGCGCAAGCGUUAUCCGGAAUUAUUGGGCGUAAAGAGCUCGUAGGCGGUUUGUCGCGUCUGCCGUGAAAGUCCGGGGCUCAACUCCGGAUCUGCGGUGGGUACGGGCAGACUAGAGUGAUGUAGGGGAGACUGGAAUUCCUGGUGUAGCGGUGGAAUGCGCAGAUAUCGGGAGGAACACCGGUGGCGAAGGCGGGUCUCUGGGCCGUUACUGACGCUGAGGAGCGAAAGCGUGGGGAGCGAACAGG
rnacentral:rRNA from 1 species